AUUGAACGCUGGCGGCAGGCCUAACACAUGCAAGUCGAACGAGUGGCGGACGGGUGAGUAAUGUCUGGGAAACUGCCUGACGGAGGGGGAUAACUACUGGAAACGGUAGCUAAUACCGCAUACCAGCAGAUGUGCCCAGAGGGGAUGAGCUAGUUGGUGGGGUAACGGCUCAACAAGGCGACGAUCCCUAGCUGGUCUGAGAGGAUGACCCGCAAAACUGGAACUGAGACACGGGCCAGACUCCUACGGGAGGCAGCAGUGGGUAAUAUUGGACAAUGGGCGCAAGCCUGAUGCAGCAAUGCCGCGUGUGUGAAGAAGGCCUUCGGGUUGUAAAGUACUUUCGGCGGAGAAGCGUUACCCGCAGAAGAAGCAACGGCUAACUCCGUGCCAGCAGCCGCGGUAAUAC
rnacentral:rRNA from 1 species